GAUGCUGACCAGUGGAUCACUUGACUCAUGCAUAGAUGAAGAACGCAGCUAGCUGUGAGAACUAAUGUGAAUUUCAGGCCACAUUGAUCAUCGACACUUCGAACGCACUUUGUGGCCCUGGGUUAUCCUCAGGGCUAUGCCUGUCUGAGGGUUG